GCCGGCGACGGACGCUUCGCGUGGCGCGCCCCGACGGAAUGACACUUUAUUUUACCCACCCAGCAACGGAGGCCACCAUGGCACAGAUCGGCACCUUUACCCGCACCGUCGAUGGAUACACCGGCACAAUCCGGACCUUCACGCUCAAACGCGAUGUCAUCAUCAUCGUGCCGGCUAUCGUGAGCGAGACCGAUAACGCUCCGAAUUACCGCGUUCUUGCCGACGACGUCGAAAUCGGCGCCGGAUGGAAGCGUACCGGUGACAAAGCUGGCGAUUAUCUCUC
rnacentral:misc_RNA from 1 species